AACUACUCUAAUUUUUCUGGGAUCUGAAACAGGAGGAUAGUUCAAUUAGGAUGUUGCUUUUAGUUCACAACCUUCAGAUCAACACAGUCAAUACAGUAGUCACCAACUUGAUGCUAAAAAGCAGAGGUACCUUGCUCAGAUAAAUAACAAUAUAACACAAAAUGGAAAGGGGUUAUGAUCAGAGAUCCUGUCUAUUAUUUCACAUAACUGCUCAACUGAUUUAACAGGCAUGUGAAUACUGCAGUUGACAUUGCAUUCUACAUUUUAAUGAAGAGAAGAUUCUGAUAAGAACAUUCACAGAACAUUUGAGUAUUUAAACAGGUCAUUCUGCUAAUUAUCAAAAAGAAUGUUCUAAAACUACACUUGCCACUGUAAGCAUCAACACACAAUCCCACGAGAUCUUUCAGCUCGCUUGACUUCAUUUUGCGACAAAAGUCAUUGCCUAGAUUUUGAUAAAGUUUCAACCAUAUUUUGGACAUCAUAACAAACCGAAGUAAAAGUUAUCCAACAUACUUCUGCAUGCUAUAGGGUUGUAGCACUUGGUCAUCACAUAAAAAAAUUUGACUGAAUCUCCAUCAAAAUUUAGCAAAUGUGUCAAAUAUGAAACAAAAUCAAGGUUGAGUGAUUCUGCUUGUACAAAGUAAAUUUCAGUGAUCAUACUGAAAUUUAGGAAUAAAAUCCAACUAUCUUUUAAAAUUA
rnacentral:misc_RNA from 1 species